rnacentral:rRNA from 1 species
AGAGAGAGACAUGCGCGCAUAUCAAUAAGCGGAGGAAAAGAAACUAACAAGGAUUCCCCUAGUAACGGCGAGUGAAGCGGGAAGAGCUCAAAUUUGAAAUCUUAAAGGGUUUCCCUUUACGAAUUGCAGUUUAAAGAAGUGUUUUCUGUUGAGGUUUUGGUAAAAGUUCUUUGGAAUAGGACAUCAUAGAGGGUGAGAAUCCCGUAUUUGACCUUUACUUUCAACUUUGUGAUACACUUUCAAAGAGUCGGAUUGUUUGGGAAUGCAGUCCAAAAUGGGUGGUAAAUUUCAUCUAAAGCUAAAUAUUGGCGAGGAGACCGAUAGCGAACAAGUACCGUGAGGGAAAGAUGAAAAGAACUUUGAAAAGAGAGUUAAACAGUACGUGAAAUUGUCAAAAGGGAAGCGUUUGACACCAGUGUUGUUUUUCUGAAAAUCAAUUAAAGAACUGUUUAUGCUAAGUUGUUUAGACUUUAUCAGCUAACUGUUUAGUUUUGAGCUUUUCUUUAAUGCACUUUUCAGUUAACAAGUCAACAUCAAUUUCUUUUGCUGUAAAAAGCUUGAGGAAGGUGGCUUGAGAUUCGUCUUAAGUGUUUAUAGCCUCUUGCCUAUGCAGUCGGAGAGAUUGAGGUCUGCAGCGUAGAUCCUUCGGGGCUAAAUGCAUUUGUGCUAAGUUAUAGCAUUUUAUAGACAACUUGUUGACUAUGAUUUGUCUUGUAGCUUACUCGCUUAUGUUAUUUUACCUACGCUUAGGAUGUUGACGCAUGAGAUAUACGC